UACGACUACAUAUCAGGCAUAUCAAUAAGCGGAGGAAAAGAAACUAACAAGGAUUCCCUUAGUAACGGCGAGGUGAAGCGGGAAGAGCUCAAAUUUGAAAUCUUCAAGGUUCUACCUUGACGAAUUGUAGUUUAAAGAAGUGUUUUCUGUUAGAGGAGUAGCAAAAGUUCCUUGGAAUGGGACAUCAUAGAGGGUGAGAAUCCCGUAUUUGGUUAUUCUUUCUAGCUUUGUGAUACACUUUCAAAGAGUCGGAUUGUUUGGGAAUGCAGUCCAAGAUGGGUGGUAAAGUUUCAUCUAAAGCUAAAUAUUGGCGAGAGACCGAUAGCGAACAAGUACCGUGAGGGAAAGAUGAAAAGAACUUUGAAAAGAGAGUUAAACAGUACGUGAAAUUGUCAAAAGGGAAGCGUUUGACACCAGUGUUGUUUUUCCGAAAAUAAAUUAAGAAGGGCUUGAUUUUGUGUUGUAUUGACCUUAUCAGCUUUCUUCACUCUUUUUCGAGUCUUUCUUAAUGCACUUUUCGGUUAACAAGUCAACAUCAAUUUCUUUUGUUGUAAAAGGGUAUUUGGAAGGUGGCUUUCUUUUCGGAGAAAGUGUUUAUAGCCUUAUACCUCUACAAUCGGAGAGAUUGAGGUCUGCAGCGUAGAUCCUUCGGGGCUAGAUACACUUGUGCUAAGUUAUAGCUUUUCAUAGACAACUUGUUGACUAUGUUUAGUCAUGUAGCUUACCCGCUUGUGCUAUUUUACCUACGCUUAGGAUGUUGAUCUACAGAGCGAGAGU
rnacentral:rRNA from 1 species